rnacentral:rRNA from 1 species
UGGGGAAUAUUGGACAAUGGGGGAAACCCUGAUCCAGCCAUGCCGCGUGCGUGAAGAAGGCCUUAGGGUUGUAAAGCGCUUUCGGCGGGGAAGAUGAUGACGGUACCCGCAGAAGAAGCCCCGGCUAACUCCGUGCCAGCAGCCGCGGUAAUACGGAGGGGGCUAGCGUUGUUCGGAAUUACUGGGCGUAAAGGGCGCGUAGGCGGGCGAUCAAGUCAGAGGUGAAAGGCCUGGGCUCAACCUGGGAAUUGCCUUUGAAACUGAUUGUCUAGAGUCCGGAAGAGGAUGGCGGAAUUCCCAGUGUAGAGGUGAAAUUCGUAGAUAUUGGGAAGAACACCAGUGGCGAAGGCGGCCAUCUGGUCCGGUACUGACGCUGAGGCGCGAAAGCGUGGGGAGCAAACAGGAUUAGAUACCCCAGUAGUCCCUGAGCGGGCUGGCAAGGCGCAU